GGGAGGCANCANNGAGGAAUAUUGGACAAUGGGCGAGAGCCUGAUCCAGCCAUGCCGCGUGCAGGAAGACGGCCCUAUGGGUUGUAAACUGCUUUUAUACGGGAAGAAACNCNUNNUCGUGAAGNAGCUUGACGGUACCGUAAGAAUAAGGAUCGGCUAACUCCGUGCCAGCAGCCGCGGUAAUACGGAGGAUCCAAGCGUUAUCCGGAAUCAUUGGGUUUAAAGGGUCCGUAGGCGGGACAAUAAGUCAGCGGUGAAAGUCUGUGGCUCAACCAUAGAAUUGCCAUUGAUACUGUUGUUCUUGAGUGUUUAUGAAGUGGUUGGAAUAUGUAGUGUAGCGGUGAAAUGCAUAGAUAUUACAUAGAACACCGAUUGCGAAGGCAGAUCACUAAUAAAAUACUGACGCUGAUGGACGAAAGCGUAGGUAGCGAACAGGAUUAGAUACCCUGGUAGUCUACGCCGUAAACGAUGGUUACUAGCUGUUCGGUNGNAAGACUGAGUGGCUAAGCGAAAGUGAUAAGUA
rnacentral:rRNA from 1 species